ensembl:snRNA U6 U6 spliceosomal RNA
GUGCUCGAUUAGGCAGCACAUAGACUAAAAUUGGAACAACACAGAGAAGAUUAGCAUGGCCCCUGCAGCAGGAUGACAUGCAAAUUCAUGAAGCGCUCCAUAUUUAC